GACUGCUCUGAGUCGAGGCGGUAGGAGCAGAGGUCCAGAGAGAUGAGUUCAGUGGCUGCAAAGGAGCAAAGAGCCAUGUUGUCCCUUGUGCUCCAUGUGCCAGGACAAGGAAGCUGCAGCUGUCCACGCCCAGCGCUCUUCCAGGCUGAGACACAAGGACAGAAAAUCAAGGUCAGCUUGCAACAUGCCAAGACCUAUCUCAAAAAACAAAACAAAACAACAACAAAAAUCAACCUACAGAAAAAUAUAGCAUAAACCACCUUCCACGAUGCAGAUUUAACAAGCACUAGUAUUUUGCUCUAUUAGCUUUGAAUCUGUAUUCUAAAUGUUCCACACACACUUGAACCUUAUGUGGAAAGGUUCUAAUCCCUGAUCCUGUUUUCCUGAAAAGUAACUACAAUCAUGAAAUAUGUGUUUAUUCUUUAAUUUUUUUUUUUUUUGCAGUACUUGGGAUUGAACCUAGGGCCAUCAUACUAAGCUACAUCCCCAGCCUUCUCUUUUUUUUUUUUUUCAAUUUUGAAACAGUCUCAUUAAGUCACUAAGUUGCCCAGGCUGGGCUUGAACUUGCAAUCCUCUUGCCUCAGACUCCCAGAGUGCUGGGAUCACAAACAUGAGGCCCCAUGCCUGGCUAUAAGAGUUUCUCUAGAGUGGUGGUGAGGAACUUAUGGCACAUGUGCCACAAGUGGGCACACAGAGUCCUCUCUGUUGGCUCAUGAGCCAAGUCCCCACAGAAGAUAAGGAUCGGUUAACAGCAUACACAGGGGCCAUGCACAUGCUCUGGAAGGAGUAGCGGCACCAGGUGAUGACAUCACCAGCAGCCUGGGCACUUGGUCUUUAAAAGGUUCGCCAUCACUGCUCUAGAACAUAUGCUUCUUGAUAAGGUUCCCUGUAGACCUUAGGACUCACAGGAUUGUGAGAGGUAGUGAAUGAAAUAUUUCCGGUGAGGGUGUUGGUUCCAUGUCUGCUGUCAGAUCUGAAGUCAGCAGGACCAACAGAGAAAGAGGAUGAGUAGUGGAAAGCAGAAACCCUUAGGAACUGACAGAGCCAGCUGUCACUUGUUGAACAGCACCUGAAUGGGGGAGUGAGGAUGAAGAAAAAGAAAGACGCAGAGAUAGAGUCGGGAGCCUCCCAGAGAGACUGCCGCCGCGCUUUAUUUUUAUUCUCCUCCCCUUUUUAUCACAGUCCUGGUCUAGCAGCCUCGGAACCACUAGAUCUGAACCCCAACCUACAGGAUUCUCAGACUUGAGCAUUCUGUAAUUUACAGCUCAAGACAGACAUCCUGGGACAAUAUCUGUGAUGCUGCCAGCUUGAUUUAGGUCCUGGCCAGGAGAGUCUGUCCGCUUGUCCCCUGUCCUGAGUGACUCUGCCCUGCCUGAG
rnacentral:lncRNA from 1 species